UUCCGACUGCCUCUCAGGACCCAGAACCUA
rnacentral:piRNA from 1 species